rnacentral:sRNA from 1 species
AUUAUUUUUACAUUUUGUAUUUUAUAAGCUAGUUUUAUUUUCAUCUAUUCUAAAGUACUCAUGUUGUUACAUCAAGAUUUUGUUGAAAAACUUUAUACUAAAAAUAAAUGGAAUAUAUAUUUAAGUUUAACAUAAUGUACAUGAGAAAACAAAAGUUUACAUUCUCCUAUAUAUCUUUCAAAAUACGGUACACUCAAUUUGGAGAGAGAGGAAUGCAAGAAGACACGGUGAACAACCAUAACCACCAGAUCAAGAUGAUCGACAAAAAUGUGAGAAAUCGUUUAAGUACAAUUCGGGGUAUAGGGGAAUCCAUAAGUAUGAAGAGGAUCUUCAAGUUUGGUUUGCUACAAGACGAGCUUAAGUUCCAAUUGUGUUGUUAGAAUUUGUUUUUGAAAUCGUAUUCAUUAAGCUGUAAAACAUUUUUUUCUU